rnacentral:rRNA from 1 species
GACGAACGCUGGCGGCGUGCUUAACACAUGCAAGUCGAACGGAAAGGCCCUGCUUUUGUGGGGUGCUCGAGUGGCGAACGGGUGAGUAACACGUGAGUAACCUGCCCUUGACUUUGGGAUAACUUCAAGAAACUGGGGCUAAUACCGGAUAGGAGCUCCUGCUGCAUGGUGGGGGUUGGAAAGUUUCGGCGGUUGGGGAUGGACUCGCGGCUUAUCAGCUUGUUGGUGGGGUAGUGGCUUACCAAGGCUUUGACGGGUAGCCGGCCUGAGAGGGUGACCGGCCACAUUGGGACUGAGAUACGGCCCAGACUCCUACGGGAGGCAGCAGUGGGGAAUAUUGCACAAUGGGCGGAAGCCUGAUGCAGCAACGCCGCGUGCGGGAUGACGGCCUUCGGGUUGUAACCCGCUUUCGCCUGUGACGAAGCGUGAGUGACGGUAAUGGGUAAAGAAGCACCGGCUAACUACGUG